rnacentral:rRNA from 1 species
UGUGCUGCAGAGAGUUUGAUCNUGGCUCAGGACGAACGCUGGNGGCGUGCUUAAACACAUGCAANUCGAACGAGAGGACAAGAGAAGCUUGCUUCUUUUGGAAUCGAGUGGCAAACGGGUGAGUAACGCGUAAACAACCUGCCCUCCGGAUGGGGACAACAGCUGGAAACGGCUGCUAAUACCGAAUACGAUCUAAAGGCCGCAUGACCUUUAGAAGAAAAGAUGGCCACUGAAUAUGCUAUCGCCGGAAGAGGGGUUUGCGUCUGAUUAGCUAGUUGGAGGGGUAACGGCCCACCAAGGCAAUGAUCAGUAGCCGGUCUGAGAGGAUGAACGGCCACAUUGGAACUGAGACACGGUCCAGACUCCUACGGGAGGCAGCAGUGGGGAAUCUUCCGCAAUGGGCGAAAGCCUGACGGAGCAACGCCGCGUGAGUGAAGACGGCCUUCGGGUUGUAAAGCUCUGUUAUAUGGGGACGAACGGGGNGUAUGGUCAAUACCCAUACGCCGUGACGGUACCGUAAGAGAAAGCCACGGCUAACUACGUGCCAGCAGCCGCGGUAAUACGUA